UACGGAGGGUGCGAGCGUUGUCCGGAAUCACUGGGCGUAAGGGCGCGUAGGUGGCGCGGGUAGUCAUCGGUGAAAGCUCAGGGCUCAACCCUGAGUCGGCCGGUGAUACUCCCGUGCCUGAGUGUGGUAGGGGAGACUGGAAUUCCUGGUGUAGCGGUGAAAUGCGCAGAUAUCAGGAGGAACACCGAUGGCGAAGGCAGGUCUCUGGGCCACUACUGACGCUGAGAAGCGAAAGCAUGGGGAGCGAACAGG
rnacentral:rRNA from 1 species